GAACGGGCCAACGAGUUACGUUAAGUAGCAAGGUUAAGCACUUAAGGUGUGGAGCCGUAGCGAAAGCGAGUUUUAACUGAGCGUUCAGUUACUUGACGUAGACCCGAAACCGGGCGACCUACCCAUGAGCAGGAUGAAGCGAAAGUAAAAUUUCGUGGAGGUCCGAACCCACGAGCGUUGAAAAGCUCGGGGAUGACUUGUGGGUAGCGGUGAAAUUCCAAUCGAGCCCGGAGAUAGCUGGUUCUCCCCGAAAUAGCUUUAGGGCUAGCCUCAAGGUGAGAGAUACGGAGGUAGAGCACUGAAUGUCCUAGGGGGUAUUGCACCUACCGAAGACUAUCAAACUCCGAAUGCCGUCAUCUUAUACUUGGGAGUCAGACUGUGGGUGAUAAGAUUCAUAGUCGAAAGGGCAACAGCCCAGAUCGUCAGCUAAGGUCCCUAAAUGUAAGUUAAGUGGUAAAGGAUGUGGGAUUGCACAGACAACCAGGAUGUUGGCUUAGAAGCAGCCACUCAUUCAAAGAGUGCGUAAUAGCUCACUGGUCGAGUGAUCCUGCGCCGAAGAUUUCCGGGGCUAA
rnacentral:rRNA from 1 species